rnacentral:lncRNA from 1 species
AUGCAAAGCAAACACUUGAGCCGAGGCGGUCAAGCACAAAGAAACAAAAGUACUUCCAUCGGGAACCCUGAGCUACUUCUGUCCGGUGCUCCGCGCCGCGCUCCCGUGCCCGCCCGAGCCGCUGCGCUGACGCCGCCGGCGGCAGUGACCGAGGCCGGCCGGGCCCAGCGGGGCCAAGCCGCACACACCGGAGCGCUGCACAUCGCGCCGGGAACUGGAGCGCUGCGCCGGCUCGGCCAGGGCAUUCCGCCACGCGUGACGCCGCCACGGCUCAUGCUCCUGACCUAUUUUACUGCCCAGCACAACGAAACUCCCGACUCACAGAACCGAUACGGUUGGAAGAGACCUCCGGCCAUGGAGUCCAGCCUAAGCCCGGGCCCGGUCAGGCACUCUGCGCGCACCUCGCUCCGCACCGCCGUCGGGGCGCCGCCUCCUGCAGGGACACGGCUCCGCGGAGGGGGGCCCGGCCGGCAGGAGGGACCGGGAGGCUCUGCCGGCGGUCCCGGCUCUCCCUGCCAGCCUCGCGGAGCGGGGCCUUGGGAAGGGCUCCCGACAGGGCUCCGCGGCCCCGACACCCGGCACGUGACCCCGCGGGCGGGGCGGCGCCGGGCGACACCCCCCACCCGCCCCGCCGCCAAAACAAUACCGGGCAGGGCUCUGCCCGCCGGGCGGCCGCCCCUCGCUCCGCUCGGCUCAGCCCAGCUCAGCCAGCCUUUUGUUCAGGGCACUCACCCGCGCAGGAAGGCCGCGGCGCCCGCUCCAGCUCAGCCGGCGGCAGAGCGGCGAGGGGAGGCAGCACCGCCUCGGCCCCGGGCGGCCGUGCAGGGGGCGCUGUCGGAGCGGCCUUUGGUGGCCGAGACCUCCGCCGCCGCCGCCGUCACCGCCUCCCCCCGACCGCUCCAGCUCGGGCGCGCCCGCGGCGGCGCGGGGACUCACCCGCCGGGCCGGCCCGCGCCGCUCGGCUCGGCUCGGCUCCGCUCGGGCCCGCUGCGCUCCGCCCGCCGCCACCUGCCGCUCCCUCCGGCCCCGCCGCCGGGACCGCGGGACGCGCCGACGUCACGCGCGGGCCGGGGCGGCCGAACGCGCCACUGUGACGCCGCCGCGGCGGGGGCGGGGCCAGGGGCGGGGCCGGGCGCGUGA